rnacentral:rRNA from 1 species
GCGAGUGCUAUAAUGCAAGUCGAACGCGUUGGCCCAAUUGAUUGAUGGUGCUUGCACCUGAUUGAUUUUGGUCGCCAACGAGUGGCGGACGGGUGAGUAACACGUAGGUAACCUGCCCAGAAGCGGGGGACAACAUUUGGAAACAGAUGCUAAUACCGCAUAACAACGUUGUUCGCAUGAACAACGCUUAAAAGAUGGCUUCUCGCUAUCACUUCUGGAUGGACCUGCGGUGCAUUAGCUUGUUGGUGGGGUAACGGCCUACCAAGGCGAUGAUGCAUAGCCGAGUUGAGAGACUGAUCGGCCACAAUGGGACUGAGACACGGCCCAUACUCCUACGGGAGGCAGCAGUAGGGAAUCUUCCACAAUGGGCGCAAGCCUGAUGGAGCAACACCGCGUGAGUGAAGAAGGGUUUCGGCUCGUAAAGCUCUGUUGUUAAAGAAGAACACGUAUGAGAGUAACUGUUCAUACGUUGACGGUAUUUAACCAGAAAGUCACGGCUAACUACGUGCCAGCAGCCGCGGUAAUACGUAGGUGGCAAGCGUUAUCCGGAUUUAUUGGGCGUAAAGAGAGUGCAGGCGGUUUUCUAAGUCUGAUGUGAAAGCCUUCGGCUUAACCGGAGAAGUGCAUCGGAAACUGGAUAACUUGAGUGCAGAAGAGGGUAGUGGAACUCCAUGUGUAGCGGUGGAAUGCGUAGAUAUAUGGAAGAACACCAGUGGCGAAGGCGGCUACCUGGUCUGCAACUGACGCUGAGACUCGAAAGCAUGGGUAGCGAACAGGAUUAGAUACCCUGGUAGUCCAUGCCGUAAACGAGGAGUGCUAGGGGGUUGGAGGGUUUCCGCCCUUCAGUGCCGGAGCUAACGCAUUAAGCACUCCGCCUGGGGAGUACGACCGCAAGGUUGAAACUCAAAGGAAAUUGACGGGGGCCCGCACAAGCGGGGGGAGCAUGUGGUUUAAUUCGAAGCUACGCGAAGAACCUUACCAGGUCUUGACAUCUUGCGCCAACCUUAGAGAUAG